rnacentral:rRNA from 1 species
UACGUAGGGUGCGAGCGUUAAUCGGAAUUACUGGGCGUAAAGCGUGCGCAGGCGGUUUUGUAAGCCAGAUGUGAAAGCCCCGGGCUUAACCUGGGAAUGGCAUUUGGGACUGCAAGGCUUGAGUGCGGCAGAGGAGACUGGAAUUCCUGGUGUAGCAGUGAAAUGCGUAGAUAUCAGGAGGAACACCGGUGGUGUAGACGGCUUACUGGACCACGACUGACACUGAGGCACGAAAGCGUGGGUAGCAAACAGG